GACGAACGCUGGCGGCGUGCUUAACAUAUGCAAGUCGAACGGUAAGGCCCUUCGGGGUACACGAGUGGCGAACGGGUGAGUAACACGUGGGUGAGCUGCCCUGCACUUCGGGAUAAGCCUGGGAAACUGGGUCUAAUACCGGAUAGGACUCCUGGCUUCAUGGUUGGGGGUGGAAAGCUUUUGCGGUGUGGGAUGGGCCCGCGGCCUAUCAGCUUGUUGGUGGGGUAAUGGCCUACCAAGGCGACGACGGGUAGCCGGCCUGAGAGGGUGACCGGUCACACUGGGACUGAGAUACGGCCCAGACUCCUACGGGAGGCAGCAGUGGGGAAUAUUGCACAAUGGGCGCAAGCCUGAUGCAGCGACGCCGCGUGAGGGAUGACGGCCUUCGGGUUGUAAACCUCUUUCAGCUAUGACGAAGCGCAAGUGACGGUAGUAGCAGAAGAAGGACCGGCCAACUACGUGCCAGCCGCCGCGGUAA
rnacentral:rRNA from 1 species